rnacentral:rRNA from 1 species
GGGUUGUGAGGUUAAGCGACUAAGCGUACACGGUGGAUGCCCUGGCAGUCAGAGGCGAUGAAGGACGUGCUAAUCUGCGAUAAGCGUCGGUAAGGUGAUAUGAACCGUUAUAACCGGCGAUUUCCGAAUGGGGAAACCCAGUGUGUUUCGACACACUAUCAUUAACUGAAUCCAUAGGUUAAUGAGGCGAACCGGGGGAACUGAAACAUCUAAGUACCCCGAGGAAAAGAAAUCAACCGAGAUUCCCCCAGUAGCGGCGAGCGAACGGGGAGCAGCCCAGAGCCUGAAUCAGUGUGUGUGUUAGUGGAAGCGUCUGGAAAGGCGCGCGAUACAGGGUGACAGCCCCGUACACAAAAAUGCACAUACUGUGAGCUCGAUGAGUAGGGCGGGACACGUGGUAUCCUGUCUGAAUAUGGGGGGACCAUCCUCCAAGGCUAAAUACUCCUGACUGACCGAUAGUGAACCAGUACCGUGAGGGAAAGGCGAAAAGAACCCCGGCGAGGGGAGUGAAAAAGAACCUGAAACCGUGUACGUACAAGCAGUGGGAGCCUCUUUAUGGGGUGACUGCGUACCUUUUGUAUAAUGGGUCAGCGACUUAUAUUCUGUAGCAAGGUUAACCGAAUAGGGGAGCCGAAGGGAAACCGAGUCUUAACUGGGCGUUAAGUUGCAGGGUAUAGACCCGAAACCCGGUGAUCUAGCCAUGGGCAGGUUGAAGGUUGGGUAACACUAACUGGAGGACCGAACCGACUAAUGUUGAAAAAUUAGCGGAUGACUUGUGGCUGGGGGUGAAAGGCCAAUCAAACCGGGAGAUAGCUGGUUCUCCCCGAAAGCUAUUUAGGUAGCGCCUCGUGAAUUCAUCUCCGGGGGUAGAGCACUGUUUCGGCAAGGGGGUCAUCCCGACUUACCAACCCGAUGCAAACUGCGAAUACCGGAGAAUGUUAUCACGGGAGACACACGGCGGGUGCUAACGUCCGUCGUGAAGAGGGAAACAACCCAGACCGCCAGUUAAGGUCCCAAAGUCAUGGUUAAGUGGGAAACGAUGUGGGAAGGCCCAGACAGCCAGGAUGUUGGCUUAGAAGCAGCCAUCAUUUAAAGAAAGCGUAAUAGCUCACUGGUCGAGUCGGCCUGCGCGGAAGAUGUAACGGGGCUAAACCAUGCACCGAAGCUGCGGCAGCGACACUAUGUGUUGUUGGGUAGGGGAGCGUUCUGUAAGCCUGUGAAGGUGGCCUGUGAGGGUUGCUGGAGGUAUCAGAAGUGCGAAUGCUGACAUAAGUAACGAUAAAGCGGGUGAAAAGCCCGCUCGCCGGAAGACCAAGGGUUCCUGUCCAACGUUAAUCGGGGCAGGGUGAGUCGACCCCUAAGGCGAGGCCGAAAGGCGUAGUCGAUGGGAAACAGGUUAAUAUUCCUGUACUUGGUGUUACUGCGAAGGGGGGACGGAGAAGGCUAUGUUGGCCGGGCGACGGUUGUCCCGGUUUAAGCGUGUAGGCUGGUUUUCCAGGCAAAUCCGGAAAAUCAAGGCUGAGGCGUGAUGACGAGGCACUACGGUGCUGAAGCAACAAAUGCCCUGCUUCCAGGAAAAGCCUCUAAGCAUCAGGUAACAUCAAAUCGUACCCCAAACCGACACAGGUGGUCAGGUAGAGAAUACCAAGGCGCUUGAGAGAACUCGGGUGAAGGAACUAGGCAAAAUGGUGCCGUAACUUCGGGAGAAGGCACGCUGAUAUGUAGGUGAAGCGACUUGCUCGUGGAGCUGAAAUCAGUCGAAGAUACCAGCUGGCUGCAACUGUUUAUUAAAAACACAGCACUGUGCAAACACGAAAGUGGACGUAUACGGUGUGACGCCUGCCCGGUGCCGGAAGGUUAAUUGAUGGGGUUAGCGGUAACGCGAAGCUCUUGAUCGAAGCCCCGGUAAACGGCGGCCGUAACUAUAACGGUCCUAAGGUAGCGAAAUUCCUUGUCGGGUAAGUUCCGACCUGCACGAAUGGCGUAAUGAUGGCCAGGCUGUCUCCACCCGAGACUCAGUGAAAUUGAACUCGCUGUGAAGAUGCAGUGUACCCGCGGCAAGACGGAAAGACCCCGUGAACCUUUACUAUAGCUUGACACUGAACAUUGAGCCUUGAUGUGUAGGAUAGGUGGGAGGCUUUGAAGUGUGGACGCCAGUCUGCAUGGAGCCGACCUUGAAAUACCACCCUUUAAUGUUUGAUGUUCUAACGUUGGCCCCUGAUCGGGGUUGCGGACAGUGUCUGGUGGGUAGUUUGACUGGGGCGGUCUCCUCCUAAAGAGUAACGGAGGAGCACGAAGGUUGGCUAAUCCUGGUCGGACAUCAGGAGGUUAGUGCAAUGGCAUAAGCCAGCUUGACUGCGAGCGUGACGGCGCGAGCAGGUGCGAAAGCAGGUCAUAGUGAUCCGGUGGUUCUGAAUGGAAGGGCCAUCGCUCAACGGAUAAAAGGUACUCCGGGGAUAACAGGCUGAUACCGCCCAAGAGUUCAUAUCGACGGCGGUGUUUGGCACCUCGAUGUCGGCUCAUCACAUCCUGGGGCUGAAGUAGGUCCCAAGGGUAUGGCUGUUCGCCAUUUAAAGUGGUACGCGAGCUGGGUUUAGAACGUCGUGAGACAGUUCGGUCCCUAUCUGCCGUGGGCGCUGGAGAACUGAGGGGGGCUGCUCCUAGUACGAGAGGACCGGAGUGGACGCAUCACUGGUGUUCGGGUUGUCAUGCCAAUGGCACUGCCCGGUAGCUAAAUGCGGAAGAGAUAAGUGCUGAAAGCAUCUAAGCACGAAACUUGCCCCGAGAUGAGUUCUCCCUGACUCCUUGAGAGUCCUGAAGGAACGUUGAAGACGACGACGUUGAUAGGCCGGGUGUGUAAGCGCAGCGAUGCGUUGAGCUAACCGGUACUAAUGAACCGUGAGGCUUAACCUUACAACGCCGAAG